rnacentral:lncRNA from 1 species
AAACCUUCGCGUCCUCCGAUUAAAUAUGCAAAGGGAAGAAAAAAGAAAGAUAGAGGUUUUUCACAAAAAACUAAGUACUCUUAAUUAUUUAGAAAAAGAGCAUUACAACACACAUAUUCUCUUAUAUUUUGGCCAUAGCCACUCCCACAAUUUAUAGGCCUAAGAUACAAUGAGUCUAGUCUACAUAACUUACCUACUAACUCACCUAUUAACAUGUAUAUUGA